UGCUUGAAAGAAUUGUAUAGACAAAUAUCUUUGGCUCUUUUAGAGUAUAAUCGAUCCGUUGUUAUUUGUUGCAGGUAAAUACUAAAGCUUUACAAUGAAGGUUAUCUUAAUGCUCGCUAUGAUGUGUCUUGUGAUCGUUGCUGUGGAUGCUAACCCCCCAGCUGUUUCAUUCACUUGCACAAGCCCAAGCUUCUCCUGCAGUAAAGGUUACGGCAAAGGAACCAAAUACGUUUGCGCAUCACCCUUCAGAUACUGCCCCAAUGGCCACGUCACUGGAUAAGUGAUGGAAUCAAAUUGCUCUGUGCACGAAUAAUGCAAAUAAAAGCAGCACAAAAAUAAA